AAGAUAUGGAGCUGUUUGUGCCUGAAAGCCUGAGCAGACCCCAAAUGAGCAUGUGAAAGGUGAGCAACUCUGAUUCAAAGCUUUUUAAUUUUAUUUUUUUUUAUCUUGACCAUGAAAAUUUUCAACUGAUGCUCUAAAUCCUGAGGUAGUUACAUGUUUAAAUGCAGUACGACCACAUUUCUCAUAAAAGAACACAUUUAAAGGUAAUACACAAUAUUUCCAUUUUAUAGGUGUGUGUCAGAAAUAAUUUUUUCUCUAUUUUGAAAUUUUUGGUACUCUCUGCAACCUUAUAUAACCCCAUUUCAGGUGGCCAUUGUGAGCUACAGAUGUUUCCAACCUCUACGUAAUAUCACUUUUGCCUUACACACAGGGAUGCUGUACCUUAAAUGAAGCAGUAAAGCUUGGGGAAAUUAAUCAACAUGCACAGAGCAGAUAUAGUUGAAAUGGAGAAGAGUUCUUAGCAAAUUCAGUGGUUUGUGUUGGUAGCAUUUGAGUCCCAGAAUAGUAAUAGAUUUGUGACUUGCCCAAGGACAGGCGAGAGAUUAGAGGGGUGCAAAGUAGGAUUGGAUGUCGUAAGCCAGCAUGAUGGCCAGGUGUGGAUUUGUUGAAAGGAGAGAGGGAAAAGGAGAAUCUCUUGGAGUCUUUCAAGGUGCUUUGGAGCUGGGAGGGCUCCCUGGUGCUGGAUGACAGAGCAAACCUCCAAGAGUUCAGAGUGUCAAAUAUUGCCAUGAAGGGAUGCCCCAGGGACUGCGACGCUGGAAGAAGGUGCCUUUGGGUAGGAGGUUUACAGGCAGAAAGGAACAGAAAACUUGCUCUAAGUGUAAGACAAGGGACUUACCUAGAUACAGCGAGAAGCUAAAAAUAACCCCAAAACCCCAAGCAAUUGUGUCACGUUCCUCAUCAGGAUAAGCACUGGUCUCAGCACACCAGGUGCCUCAGCACCGUCAGCGCUUGUGGAGGCAGCAGAGCAGAGCGUGAGCGCGUUCGUGCAGGGGAACCAGGAGGCCAGAACCUGAGUCUUCCCAAGCCCCAGGUGGAUGUUUUGCUUUGCUAAGCAAGUCUGCUUGCUUGGUGACACCAGCUGUGUCUGCCCACUGCCCCUGCAUAAUGCUGGCUGUCCCCGUGAGACAACCUGCUGUCAGACCUGAACUCAGCCCGCAGAGAAGCAUGAGGGUUUCUGAGUAAGGCAUGCUCAUCUUUAAAAUAGUAUUCUUCUGAGUUUAGGCUCUUUCCUUCACAUAUGUGAGAAUCUGCCUCUCAGCACCACAAGAGGAAGAAGAGGGGAAGGAGAACAUCUUGAAACAGGUUAAAGUCCCACUCUGUGCAGUUGUGCUAGGGAGUCUGAGGGGUUUCUCCCUUCCUUGUGGCUUCAGAGUUUGUGCUCCACCUCCAGAGGAAAUGGGAGCAUGUGCUGCCUCACCAGCCUGGGUGAGAUAAAUGACCAGCCCAUGAUAACCCUCUGGAGGGUAUCUGCUCCUUUCUGGGGUUGAAUCAGUCUCUCUAGGGGUCCUUCCCUACUGGCUCCCAGUGCAUUUCAGGUGAAUCCAAAGCUCUUAGCUUAGAGAUGAGCUUCUGCUCAUCUACAUCAGCAGUAUACGUGGGCAUAAGCCAUAUCAAUCUAAUCACAAACCCAAACAAACCAGCAAUCACUUGAGUCCUUUAUAUAUUGGCAGGCAAAAGCAAGCCCUUCCCUCAUACCCAGUCUGCAUACACACAAUUUUUCUGCAGCCUUCGUCAGGAAUUCAAUAGCUGAGACCAACAUUUAUGUCAAUAAAUCCAGUGUGUGGGUCUGCCCCUUUCCUGACUAUUCAAAUACGCGGCCACAUCGGUGUUUCUCAUUUGGAGGACAAUGACAGGGCUCAUAAUUUUAUUUUUUAUCUCCCACUUCACCUGUUCCUGAGUGCUGAAGAAGGGGAGGAAACGGCACGGUGGUGUAUGCCGUAUCAACACGCAGCGCGGGGGGCGUCGAUGACAACCUUGGAGUGCUCAACCAUCCAUCAGGGUGCCAUGGAGGAUGAGGAGGAGCGAGAAGCACAGGCAACACAAAACCCCACGACGCUGUUUUCCAGUACAUGAGCAGAAGCUUUUGGCUGCGGCAGAAGAGUUCCCCUCUCUCUCAUCUGAAGCUGCUGGAAAGCAUUUCCCAACGUCUUGAUGUUCUCCCACCCAGAGGGAAUUAAUCGCCAAGAUGGAAUGAAGAGCCCGGCACAGAAAGCAGGCAUGGUCCAC